GAGCGCGGCCCGGGGGGAGCGCGAAAUGGCGGAUGCGCGGGCGGGCGGCGCGCACACGAACGCGCGUGUCCGCGUCCCUCUGUCCGCCCGCGGACGGUCCGUCUGUCCCUCAGUGCACGGGGUACGGAGAUGAGCGACCGGCACCGGUUCCCGCCGGGGCAACAAAGCCUGCCCCCUGUUCCGUGCCCCGACCCGCCCGCCGCCCCCGGCCCCGCUCACUCGUCAGGGAACAGAAGUGGAAACUCGGAGAGAAACCUGUGGACUGCUAGUAAAUGAGAUGGAGGCAAGAGCUGAUCAAAGCUUUGAGGUCUUCUCCUCAGGGAGAAGCAGUGUGUCCUUCAGAGGUUACUGUGCCGGUUCUUGUAAGCCUGUUGGAGCUGACUGACUUUUCUGAAUGAAAAGGCUCUCUCUCAGAGGUGUGAUUUCUGUUUGUGCAUUGUGUUGUUUGUACACAGAGCUUCUGCUCAAACACAGAGUAGCGCUUCCCCGCGAUGCGAUCGUUAAGGUACCUAGAAUUAAUCAGCCUUUGGUGGCAGAGCUUCAAGGCAGCAGCUCCUGAAUACUAACAAUUUGCCUGCUAUGACUGUCCUGUGUUUUAUAUUCAAAAGAAACAUUUCUUUUGCAGAGUAAUACUUCAGCUGUUGCAGAGAACCUUGUUUCUGCUCAGAUUGGAAUAAACUUCCCUGAGUGCUGUUACACCUUUAGCUAGCACUUAUUCAGGGUGAGAACCACUGGAAUUUGAAGUGUCAAAGUUUAGGAUGGCAUUUACUGCAGGCUUGCAAUGUAGCCUCCUGCCUUCACUUACUCUCGCUUGUAAAGCCUUUCAGCCUUUGAGCUGAAGUCUUCCGCACUGUUGAUUUAGGAACCUAAUUAUGAAUGUUGGUACCCUGUUGACUGUGCUGAAUUCAAUGAUUUUUCCACUGACUCAUUUGGUGACUUUGAAUGAGUGAGGAGUGGAAGUCAGCAGUCCUGAAUCAUGCCAUCCUCCAGACAAUUACCCCGCUCCCCAAUAAUUUUUUUGAGCAGCAAUCAUAUUUUAAAAGCAGCGAUUGCAUCUGUAUUUUCCCCCAUCAUAAUUGCUCAGAAUUUAAGAGCUACAAAAACAAUCUGCAACAUUUCAAGUCAGUGUAAAUUCUUUCAGGAUUGACACUUUUUGGGAGGUCACAGUUUGGAAAUACAGGGGUUUUUUUUCCAGCAGGAGUGGGACUUUAGCAUGUGGUUUGGAGAAUUGUUGGGAUCCUUUUUGGGCACCUGCCAGGGGAAGAGGAUGUGGAGAGCUCCUUGCAGUCUUCCCAGGAUGUCCUUUUGGAGGCUGGUAAAACCAGAGCAGGCAAGCAGAACAGACCCUUGCUGCCAGAUGAGCAGACUAUUCCACUUCUCCAUUUUUUGGGCUUUGUAAACCUGCAUUUUACCAGGACAGAAAGUUGAGGCGAUCUCUGCGCUGCUGCCUGUGUGGCUUUUCUGGCUUUUCUGGACACCAUGGGAUCAACUUGGGCAACUGCAGCAAAUGUGCUGAGGGCUGGGAAGGCAUUGACCAGUGCAUGGAGUCAGGCAUGAGUCAUGCCUAUGGGACAAAUCUGGUGUCAUUUGUAGCUGCGUUCCUCAAAUCUUGUGCUCUCCUUCAUCCUCUCCCAAAAUAAAAGCAAAGUUUAUUGAAAUGGGGAGAUAGUGAGGAAAAGCAGUAUUUUCAAACCCUUGCUUUCCUACUGGGCACUCUGUUGCCCUCUUAAUAUUCAGCAGUAAGUGAUUUAUAGCCCCCCUGACAUGGUGGUUUGGUGUUUCCUUUGUGUGCAUAACUUCCUUUUGAUAUAAAGAGAUGAUAACAAACCUAAAUUGUAGUCUCACAAGCACAUGACACUUUGUGGUGCAGAUAGCAGGAAAAUGCUCUAAUCUUGAGUUCAACACUUCAGCCUACCCACCCCCAAAUUCCACCCUGGUAAGAGGGUGGCACUAGCAGGUUUAGUGAGACAGCAGUGUCGGAUUCUUUCACACACAGUAGUGCAGGAUGAUGGUUUUGGGAGUGCCACUGGAGUCAAGUCCCUGGCAUGGACUCAACAAGAGACGAGUGCACAGCUGCUUCUUGAACUUUUUUGCGUACCUUUUUGUGCUGAAUGCUUGGAAGGAAAAACUGCUACAAAACCUUCACUUUCUGCUGCCAGUUCUGCAGUGGUGCUCCUGCGUGUUCCCGACUCAGCAGGGAUGGUCCGUCCCUGGACCAUCAAACUGAAAAAUAAGUGUGCAGAAACUUUGCAAGUGUCACCACAACCUCAGGAUUAGUCCUGAAGCCAGGCUACUCUCAGCAUGAGGGAAGGGCUGCUCUUCUCUUGAGAUGCCUUUCCACCCUUGAGAGGUUUCUGAAUUUUUGAUACAGCUGUUUCCAGGGCCUCAUGAGAACUGAACAAACAGAUGCCAAAUAAAGUUUUACCUCACAGAGCACAAAAGUGGGUGGAUCUCGGAAAAACACUGGACUUGUUCACACCUUUGUCUCCCCUCCUUGGGGGUCAUUUGAAUCAGGUUUGAACCUUUUAAGUGUAUUUCAGAAAGCUGCCUUCUGAUAGCCAAACUUCACUUGGGUGUUCCUCCCUUUCUCUCACAGCUAUUGUGAGACCAUCUCCUCUGAACACUCAUGUUCCCUUUAUUGCAAAGCUCUUUGAUCAGCCUCAGCAGGUGACAUGAUGAACAGUUGACUGACUACUUUGGCAAAACCAGUUUUUGUGGCUUGACCUCCUUUUCACACACAGUGUCUUGCUGUGAGUACAGGGUCCUAUUCAGUGUCUGAGUGGUUAUAAUUGCUGGUUUACCCAGUCUAGACCUGGUUGUGGGAGAAACCCCCGCACAGGUAUCAAUCAGGAAAGGCUUCUGGAGUUAAAUUAAGCAUUUGAAAUAUGGAAAUGCUGACAUGGCUGGGUCAGAUGUUUGAUGGUACACAGGGGAAAUGAGUUGUAUAUACCCUGUCUGAAUCCUCAUUUACUCAGCCCUUGGCUUCAGGGCUGCUCAGUGACACUGACCCACUCCGUCCUUUGCAGAUGCUUGGCCAUAUUUAAUUUCAAAGGAUGCCAGUCCACCCUCUUCUCCAGGCAGAUAUUUUCCCUUGUGUCAACAUCCUCAUAACAACUCCAGCUAGGCAAAUAUAGCACAUGCCUUAUGAGUGUCCUGGAAGGACUCAGAGGUGGAGAGUUAGAGCUAAAGAAGUCUCAUGGUUAACCCCAUGUGCCACUGAAUAGCUUUGGGAUAAGUUGCAGCACAUGAUGAGGAAGCUGGGAGGAGACUUUAAUGGUCCUGCAGAGAACACCUCCUUAGACAGCCACCCUCCAAGAUGUUCCCAAGGAUUCCCAUGGAAAAUAAUCCCGUGCUCCUUUUAUGUUCUGGUAAACACAUACAUACUAUGCCUCCCUGCCAGUUCUGAGGAGAAAAGUGAUUAGUCACUCCACACAAAAACCUUUGGGAACUAUACAUAUACUCCACUAUGGAUGCCAGCUCCAUCUAGAAGGGAAUGAAGACUCACAGCUCUGCUCUGUGUGGUUGUCAACAGAAGCUGCUCUUUGCAGGUACUGGAUGCAAGGCCUUCCAGGUGCCCACUGCCAGCUGCAUCCCCAGCAGUGUUUGCUGCCAGGCUUAACAAAGCCCAGAAAUGCAAGCCCAGCUCAUGAGAGCUUCACACCUACAAGACCAAAAGCACAAGCUUGAUCCUGCUCACAGAGCUCCCUUGUUCAAGACAGUAGACUCUCCGGUCUCUUAGAGAAAAAAAGAAGGGCUGGUUAUUGCUGGAUGCCUGUUCUGAUCUUAAAAGCUGAAAGUAAAAACAAUCCAAGAUAUGGGGCAUGCUGAAGUGGCAGCUGAAGGGCUUUUUUUGUUCCUUCUGCAGUUAAUGCUGUCGUGCUAAAAUUGCACACGGGUGGGAGUGGGGGUUAAUUUAAGGUUUAGUGUGACCAAGAGGAAUUAUUUAGAAAAUAGCAAAUGGACAGCAUUCUGAAAAAUGAGCUUCACUUCCCUAACCAGGAGUACUUGACUUAAGUUGAAGAGACUAUGAAGGAAACCUCCAUAUCCAUGGCAGGUAAACAUUUGCCUUUGAUUCUGUUUUUCUCUUCAAGUCUAGAAACCCCAGCAUUUACACUUAAAUGUAUAUGCUGUAAGCUAUGUUUAGGAAGAGAAUUUCAUCCCCUCCUGCACGUACUUUUACACAUGAUAAUUAUUUGACUGUAGCUUUACAAAGUAUGGCUGGAGGGAUGGUUUGAAAGGGAGGAGUUACAUAGCACUGAUGAUAACUGCCUGAUUCAGCCCUACUGAAGGCAGUGGCAGCAGGAUCAGACAAUCCAGAGGAGAUUAUUUUAUUUUAAAUAGCCAUUAUGGACCUUCAGUGACUUAUGAUAAAUUCCUGCCUUCUGAUUUCAUGCACUGGAGAACACACAUGUGUGGUGGAACCAUGCAUGUCUUCAGAGUCACGUGUUCAGUGUGGACAUGAAUCUCUGCAUUUUGUCACCAUUUAAAAAAAAACAAAAACAAACAAAAAACCCCACAAAAACUAACAGAGAGCUAGAGAGCUUAUGAAGAUGACAUUUUUGUGAAUGAUGGUAUUUUUUAAUACCAUCGAUUUUGUCUUCAUCAAACGUAUCACAGAGUCUGAGCUUUUCCUUUAUUUUUUACAUUCUGCUUCUUCUCACCCACUUGAUCUGGUCCUUCCAUACAAAUGGAGUUGUAGUCCAAAACUCAUGGAGGCGUGAAAGAACUGCUCUAUAACCACAUGGUCUGGAUGCAAUACCUUGCACAUAAGUGCUUCUCUUUGUGCCAAAGACAUUACCACACUACCAGUAUUUAAUUUGUUACCACACAAAGUGCUCUGGAUAGCUGUGACAUUGAAACGCUUCCUAUAAAUUGGUUCCUGCUCAGCUCUAAAGACAUUUGGGUCUUCUCUUUGGUGUUUUUCAGUCUAAAAAAGUACAAAGGUGAAAACUCUCCCACGAGGCCUGAUCAAAAUAUUGUCUAAAUGGCAGUCUAAAUUUUGGCCUCUCUCUGGCUUGCAGGCAAAGCAGGACAAGUCUUUGUUUUCUUGAAAGAAACAGGGAUGGCUGUCUUUAAAAUCCUGAGGGGGUGGAAAGCAGAGAUGAUUUCCACCCUCCUGUGGCAAGGUCACUUCUAUUCCCCCUGCAGAUGGACCUACUGUAGAAAGAGGAUGGGCAAGGCACCUUUUGAGAAAGGUCACCAGAGCCUAUUCUGUGCUUUCUAAGGAAUGCAAGCAGAGGUAAGGGCUUUGUGCCACUACCAUUUAGCUGUCACCCAUAUCACAGGCAGAGCUUUCUUUGAUCAUAAUGUCUCCUAUUGCAGGAAGCUGUGGAAACUCUGCAGUAACUUUGCUGCACACAACUACCCCAAAAGGGACUUUGACCUUUUAACAAUGGCACUUCAUUAUACAGUAUUUUCUUGUGUUGAUUUUUCAAGUAUUGGGGUGGAGAUAAUCACUGAGAAACACGUGAUCUUGAAAAAAAAUUAAAAUAUAUUAAAUUAUAUAUUGUGACUUUUGAUUUAGAGUAUCUUUGUAAGCAUGUCUGAUCUUAUAUGCUGAUUUUCCUUUGUAUCCUUCACAGUCAUUUGUAGGUAUGGAGGAAAGUGUUGGUCUUCCAUUACAGCAGAAGGAGCUACAGCCCAAGGAGACACCUGGCUGUCAGGAAGAGGACUCAAACUCAGGAACAUUUGGGAGUCAUUUAAGACAGGAAGACAACAUCCACUCGAGUUUAAUUCCCUGUGCUUGUUUGUGAGUGUCUGGUUGCUUAGCUGUGAGUGGUGCAUAAAUCACCUGAGACUCUCCAUUCCUCUGUAAUUUACUGUUGGAAAGGACAGAAAUAAAUUCUAACAUAUUUGUGCGACACACCAGAAUUACUCCAAACUUAGAAGAAUUUUGGAGCAAAGUUAAAUGUUUCAAGUCUAAAUUGCACACUGCUAAUUAUCUCCUUAUAUUUUAUGUCAUCAUGGAUUAAAAUGAAAUGCUGCUGUGAAGGUGCCCCAUCAAACAGAACAUGAUUCUAGUUGUUUGCCUUGUGUGGCUUGAGUAAAAGUGCAUUUCCACCCUAGGAAAGUCCUGUAUGCCCUGAUUUCCAAGUUCAAAAAUAACUCUCUACAGAUGAAACAUGUUUCUCACCCUUUAAAGUAGUGUUUUCACCUACAAAUACUUGCUGCCUAAACAAGAGCUCUUUCCUUUGCACUUGUGCCAACAUGCAACUUGGAUAAAGAACUAAACUUAGAUUCAUAGUUAUAGUGCUUCCACUGACUUUUUUGGUUUUGUUUUUUAAUAAUGACUGUAAGACAUGUGCCAUCUCUCUCCUGAAUUUUAAUCUUUCUAAUGAAGGUGUGUUUGAAGAAGGCACACCCUUCAGAAGAUGUUUUGUGGUAUCAUCUUUGAGCCUUUAGUGUUGAGGACCAGCUGCAUUUUCAAUUUUAAAUGCACUUUUCAGGGUCUUACAUCACAGAGGCCUAAAUUAAAACACACUUACCAUAAAGAGGUGCAGCACAUGCAUUCAUCCUGGAAAUUGCACUGCGACAUGAAAGAUAUCCAAGCCCUACAUGUAAUUUUGAAGAUGAGCAAGCCUUGGCCUUUCAGAUGUCCCACGUGAGGGAAGUGCACCCACGUCCCGCAAAAUUGUAAGCUUCUGAAUCAUGGAAGCUGGAUCUUAAAGCCUCUAAUUCCCACUGAAUUAGAGAUGUUUGACGAUGUGUGUGGCUGUGAAAAUUAAUCCCAGUGCUGGACUGGGGGUGGCCGAAUGCCUGGUGGAUGUGAGCCUACGAAGGAACCCCUGUGGUCCAACACUCAGGGUGACCCAGGGAGAUGCAGAACUCAGCGAUGGGCAGCUCUCACUUUGUGCCUCCCAGCUCAUCCUCCACAUGUUAUUCAGGAUCAGGGAUCAGGAUCUGGUGGCUCCCCAUGGCAUGAAAAUUUUCUUUAGUGGUUUGCAGGCUGAAAAAGGCUGGUCAUGCCUUCUGUAAAGAAUUAUCUGAUUAGCUCUAGAUGUCUUUCUCCUAAUUUAGGUUAUUGGAGAAAAUUUUUCUUCUCUAGUAUGGUGGCAAACACCAGGAGUGAGAGCACUGCACCUCUAUUUUGGACAUAUAUACCAUGAUGAGAGCAGCAGCUGGUCUUUAACUUCACUCCCUGCAGCUAUGGAAACCUUGCCACAGGUUGUGCACCCUGCAGAAACAGAGACCUCCUUUCGGGGUUCAUGGGUUUAAUGCCAAAUUCUCUCUCCAUACACAUGGCUCCCAGGAACCAAAAAAUAGCUUCAGAGAGCCAUCAGCUUCACUAGCUUGCAGGUAUACAGAGGGAACCCCCAAACUUCAGCGUGAGUGAGACUUCCCUUCCUGCCUUUAUUUAAUGUCAGUUUCACUUGCAGCUGUUCAGGGGAAAGGUUUUUUCGCAAUCUCUUUCAAGUAUCAGAUACUGGCAAUCCCUCUCCUGGAGUGCUGUGGUUGGAGAGUAUCCUGGGCUAACUUGGGAGGGCAAGGCUCUCCCAUAUCUAAACAUUGCAGUAAAUGUUACUCAGCCUCCUGUAGGGUUACUGGGCUUGACACAAAUGUCCUAGCCAAGCUCACAAGGAAGAGGAAAUAUGGGAAUAUACACCACCAGAAGACACUAUCUCCCUUGACGUUUUUGUCUGUAAAACAAUAGCUUACAGAGCGUUUUUAACUGAAAGGUGUUGUUGGCCUUUUUCCUUUUCAUUUUUUGACUUUUGUUUCCUGUAGGAGAGUCUCUGGAAUUCCUUAAUGUUGUCAUCAAGUCCUAGGGAUUUUUUUCCCCCUCUUUUAGCUGUGCUACAUCUCCCAGGUUGCCAUCAAUGCAAAAUUGCUGAGGGAAGACAUUUCUGUUUAAACUGGAAGCCAUGAAUACAAGAGCUUCUCCUCCCAAAGGAAAUGUUGUUUUUACUUCCAUGUCCCCAGCCUUACAUCUUUGCUUUGUACUCAGGUAUUUUCACUUGAGACUUCCCAGUUUCCUAGAAAUUCUCAUUUACUCUCUUGCUGAGUCUGUGGAACAAGAGACUAAAUCCAUCUUGCUUGGAAAAAAAAUUAAAGAAAGAACAAUAAAACCGUAAUUGAAACAUUUUGCUGAAAAAUGUCACAGCAUAGUGAUUUUUGAAACAAAAGCCAAAGAAAUACUUUUUGCUUUUCUAAAUUAGGAAAAGAAAUGCAUGUGUAUACCCAUUCAGUUGGAGUGGAAUUGGAAAAUCUUUGUUUCAUAUGCAGUGCCAGCUUCAGGAAAAGGACAGUCUGGCUUUGUCUUCUUAUGUGUAUUUGUGUGUCUUUGUUAUCAAUAUUUAGCAGUCUUGGGAAGUUUUACUGUGAUGUUGAGGAGAAGGCUGCAAUUCCAGGCACUAAGGUGGCUCCUUUGGAAAGGCUAAAAUGUGGCUGCCUGCUCUUAAGAACUUCUCUAAAACCACAGGGACUCUGCACCCCACUUCCUUCUAACUCAGGACAACCAGAUG